rnacentral:rRNA from 1 species
UGGGGAAUCUUGCACAAUGGGGGCAACCCUGAUGCAGCGACGCCGCGUGAGCGAUGAAGCCCUUCGGGGCGUAAAGCUCUUUCGACCGGAACGAUAAUGACGGUACCGGGAGAAGAAGCUGCGGCUAACUACGUGCCAGCAGCCGCGGUAAUACGUAGGCAGCAAGCGUUGUUCGGAUUUACUGGGCGUAAAGGGCGCGUAGGCGGCGCGGUAAGUCACUUGUGAAAUCUCUGAGCUUAACUCAGAACGGCCAAGUGAUACUGCUGCGCUAGAGUGCGGAAGAGGCAACCGGAAUUCUUGGUGUAGCGGUGAAAUGCGUAGAUAUCAAGAGGAACACCUGAGGCGAAGGCGGGUUGCUGGGCCGACACUGACGCUGAUGCGCGAAAGCCAGGGGAGCAAACG